rnacentral:rRNA from 1 species
AGCUUUUUGAAUUUAUAAAAAGUGUUUUCUGCCCGGUGACUUUUUGUUUAACGGCCGCGGUAUUCUGACCGUGCAAAGGUAGCAUAAUCAUUAGCUUCAUAAUUGGAGGCUUGUAUGAAUGGAUUUACAUAGUAGCUGCUGUCUCCUAGUUUUGUUUUGAAAUUUCUUUUUCGGUGAAGAAGCCGAAGUUUAUUCAUAGGACGAGAAGACCCUAUUGAGCUUUACUUUAUUUUUACUCUUUCGUUUUGUUAAUAUUUCUUUUAGUAUUUUUAAAAGUUUGACUGGGGCGGUCUAGGAAAAAUUUAACUUCCUUUUUUUGUUUUACUUGUUUGUGAUUUAAAGAUCCGAGUUUUUCGAUUAAAAGAAUAAGUUACCAUAGGGAUAACAGCGUAAUCUUUUCUUAGAGUUCUUAUCGAUGAGAGGGUUUGCGACCUCGAUGUUGGACUAGGGUUUCCUAAUGGUGUAGUCUUUAUUAAUGGUGGGUCUGUUCGACCUUUAAUACCCU